CUCCUUACCUGGCAGGGGAGACACCAUGAUCACCAAGGUGGUUCUCCCAGGGCGAGGCUUAUCCAUUGCACUCGGGAUGUGCUGAGCCCUGCGAUUUCCCCAAAGGUGGGAAACUCGACGGCAUAAUUUGUGAUAGUGAGGGACAGCAUCCGCGCUUUCCCCUG
ensembl:snRNA U1 U1 spliceosomal RNA